UACGAAGGGGGCUAGCGUUGUUCGGAAUUACUGGGCGUAAAGCGCGCGCAGGCGGUCCUUUAAGUCGGGGGUGAAAGCCCAGAGCUCAACUCUGGAACUGCCUUCGAAACUAGAGGACUUGGGUACGGGAGAGGUGAGUGGAAUUCCGAGUGUAGAGGUGAAAUUCGUAGAUAUUCGGAAGAACACCAGUGGCGAAGGCGACUUACUGGACGAUUGUUGACGCUGAGGUGCGAAAGCGUGGGGAGCAAACAGG
rnacentral:rRNA from 1 species